ACACCGGUAAUACGUAGGGGGCAAGCGUUUUCCGGAAUUAUUGGGCGUAAAGGGCUCGUAGGCGGUUCGUCGCGUCCGGUGUGAAAGUCCAUCGCUUAACGGUGGAUCCGCGCCGGGUACGGGCGGGCUUGAGUGCGGUAGGGGAGACUGGAAUUCCCGGUGUAACGGUGGAAUGUGUAGAUAUCGGGAAGAACACCAAUGGCGAAGGCAGGUCUCUGGGCCGUUACUGACGCUGAGGAGCGAAAGCGUGGGGAGCGAACAGGAUUAGAUACCCUGGUAGUCCACGCCGUAAACGGUGGAUGCUGGAUGUGGGGCCCGUUCCACGGGUUCCGUGUCGGAGCUAACGCGUUAAGCAUCCCGCCUGGGGAGUACGGCCGCAAGGCUAAAACUCAAAGAAAUUGACGGGGGCCCGCACAAGCGGCGGAGCAUGCGGAUUAAUUCGAUGCAACGCGAAGAACCUUACCUGGGCUUGACAUGUUCCCGACGAUCCCAGAGAUAGGGUUUCCCUUCGGGGCGGGUUCACAGGUGGUGCAUGGUCGUCGUCAGCUCGUGUCGUGAGAUGUUGGGUUAAGUCCCGCAACGAGCGCAACCCUCGCCCCGUGUUGCCAGCGGAUUAUGCCGGGAACUCACGGGGGACCGCCGGGGUUAACUCGGAGGAAGGUGGGGAUGACGUCAGAUCAUCAUGCCCCUUACGUCCAGGGCUUCACGCAUGCUACAAUGGCCGGUACAACGGGAUGCGACGCGGCGACGCGGAGCGGAUCCCUGAAAACCGGUCUCAGUUCGGAUCGCAGUCUGCAACUCGACUGCGUGAAGGCGGAGUCGCUAGUAAUCGCGAAUCAGCAACGUCGCGGUGAAUGCGUUCCCGGGCCUUGUACACACCGCCCGUCAAGUCAUGAAAGUGGGCAGCACCCGAAGCCGGUGGCCUAACCCCUUGGGGAUGGAGCCGUCUAAGUGAGGACUCGAGUUU
rnacentral:rRNA from 1 species